rnacentral:lncRNA from 1 species
AGGUGAUCCACCCGCCUCGGACUCCCAAGGUGUUGGGAUUACAGGCGUAGCCACUAUGCCCAGCCUAUAUAUGAAAAAUUGUCUGAAUAGAUGAUCUGUUCAUGUAGUUUAAGCCCAAAAGCUGUCCACGUGGAUACAAUACACUGAAAUGUUCCCUCUCACAGUGUCCCCAGUCACUGUUGCCUCUCCCACAGCCCUAGGGGUAUCCAUUCCUAGAUGUAAGUCAAUAUAAAAACACUCUUCUCCCUCCUUUUUAUACAAAAGCACCAAAGUAUUCAUCUUGUCCUGAUUUUGCUUGUUUUAGUUAACAAUAUGUCCUG